rnacentral:rRNA from 1 species
GACGGAGGAUGCCAAGUGUUAUCCGGGAAUCACUGGGCGUAAAGCGUCUGUAGGUGGUUUAAAAAGUCCACUGUUCAAAGAAUUGAAGCUUAACUUCAAAAAUGCCGGUGGAAACUUUUAAACUUGAGUAUGAUAGGGGUAGAGGGAAGUUUCCAGUGGAGCGGUGAAAUGCGUAGAUAUUGGAAAGACCACCGAAUGGC